GUGAGUGUAAUUCGGAAACGGAGAGCGAGACUAAGCCGAUGUGUGGCUGCCUGUGUGCAGCCAGCCUGGCAGGCUGGAGCUGGCCUCUGGUCACCACGCUGGAGCAUCACAUCAGAGGGUCCUGUGACCUUCGUGGGUGGCCAGGAGAGCCAGGGGUUCAUGACCAACAGUGAACGACCACAGAAGUAUUCCAUCAGCCAGGACGAGGGACAUGAAUAGCUCUGAAAGCGGCUAAAGGAAUCCUAGUUGGGGUGGGACAGGGGCUGGCAUUGACAUCCCCCUCUCGAAGCAACACGGGGGGUUCUUCCAAUGCUGGAGGAACUCCUGGACCAGCCUCCUUUCCCAGGGACUAUUUUUCUGGGAGAGGCCCCAGACUGAACACACAAAGCCUGGGCAUCCUCUUCCCUCCCUUCCGUAAGCCGCUGCUGACAGCCCCAGUCUGCAGGUUUACUGCUGACGGCGUCGUGGGCCAACGACCCCUUGGGGUCAAACCGAGGACACAGAGCCCGCCCUGGACCCGGAACCACCAGAAUGGCUUCUGCUGCGUCUAUGAAGGAACACGCCUGGCCAGGCUUCAGUGGGGCUGCAGUGUUCUGAGUCUUCGGUUUCAAUUGGUACCAGCUGCACGCAGGGGAACCGUUGGGGGAAGUUCUCCCACUUGGCUUCCUUCCACGUGGAGGCUCACUAAAGGAAGAGAGAGCUUAGGGCUGCUGAGCUGGGGCUGGUGCCUUAGAAAUGAUGACAUAAACACAGCGGCGGGAGUCGGCCUGCGGAGUCCCUGAUGCGGCCCAGAGAAGCAGCGGUGUCCCGACUUCCCCUUCAACGCCGCGCUCUGCAAACAGAAGUGACCCGGCCCUCAUCUAUCACCUCAGAAGCUAAACAACCUCCUCAGAUGGCCCCAUGGAAUAUAAACCAGGAGGGCCCAGCUUCUAAGGGACCUGCACCAACUGCAGCCCAGGGCAGUGCUUGUCCUCCUAUUCUUCUUCCUUCAUCCGUGUUCAGGAUAGGGUGCUGGCCAGUCAUAAUCGCAGAUGAAUAUGCAGGUCCCCUUAAGUAGGUUACUCAACUGCUCUGGGCCUGUAAGUGGGGAUCCCGUCAUGUCUACCUCACACGUUCCAGGUGGAAGGUAAAGGUGGUAGGUAAUUCAGGGAGAGUGCUUAGCACGAUACCUUGAUGAAUGCCAGCCGCUACUUCAUUGGCUGGAGGCUAUUCCUGGGUACAGAGAAGGAAAACAAACAAAACCCCAAACUACCGAGUCUAAUUCUAACCCCAGACAAGGACGGCCCUGGGCCAGAGCCUCGGUGACUUCAUCAUGCUCUGAGCUUCUUCCUCCUGCUGCUCUCAUGCCAGACUGUGCCAGACCUGGGUACACUUGGCAACCUCAGUGGCCUCCGACUUGUUUAAAUCCUCACGGCGAAUCCCAGCGGCCACAAAGACCUGCUGGAGCAGAGACCAACUCAGACACGCUGGGGCAGCAGUGCAAUGUAGGAAAACUCCACCUACUUAGGGGCACUGCAUUCAAACCACGACGGGUCCAAGGAAAUGAACUGAAGGACAGCAGCCCUGCACGUGAGCUGAUUUCCUCUUCACGGCUGGUCCCCUGGGGAGGCAAAGGCUCCCAGUUCCACCUUGCUCCCUGCCAGUGAAGGUGUCCUCCUGAAGAACCUGUGCGCGGGCUGCCCAGGUGGGGCACGGGGGUGAUGGGCACUCUCUGGCUCUUUCAUGGAGGGUCAGCGUCAGAAACGUGAUGAUGACAGUGAAGCUGAAGUGAUGUGGCUGGAAGAUGGAUGAAGGGACCACAAGCCAAGGAAUGCAGGCAGCCUCCAGAAGCUGGAAAGGCAGGAGGUUGGCUUCUACUCUAGAGCACCCAGCAGGACCCGGCCCUGUUCACACCUUGAUUUUGGUCUCAUAGACUCUGACCUCCAGGAAUGUAAGAAAAUACCUUUGUGGUGUUUUAAGUUUGUGGUAAUUUGUUACAGCAACAAUAGGAGACUAAUACAGCAACGGAAAACACGAGGAUCCUUUAUAAGGACAAGAAGCCUAUGAUUAGUUCGAGGGUACUCGGUACUCGAGCGUUGCCAGCAGAUGGCCUGGGAAACAGGUGUUUACUUCCUGGUGCACUUGACCACAGAUGACCAGACCAUCAGAAGGCACUGAAUCAGCUGGGUUAUCAGAAAUGAUGGCUUCCUUUAAACACACAAUCAAAUAAACACAAAUCAAUAAAAAAAAGCUGUCCCUUUUCUUCCCCACCAACUAGGCAGGUGGACCAGUGUAUUAAACAACAGGCAGACUUGAGCAGCGGGGACACUGUUUGCUCCCCUAACCUGUGGCUCCACCCCAGCUGGUGCCACUCCAAGGGAGAUCAGACCAGAAAGGGAAACUGGAAGAAAGAAAAAUAAAUCACCUCCAGCCUCCUCCUCCAGGUUGCCGGCCAGAAACCACUGAAGAAUCUCUUGGAAACACUUGAGACUUAAGGCCUUUUUUUUUUUUUAGCAGGUUUGCUCCCCCCGCCCCCCAGACUAUUUUCUGAUUAAAUGUCUCCUAAGGGCUUGCAUUAGAGAGCCCAGGAAACCCUGUCUCAACAAAAAAGGAGAAACACGCAGGAUUCUCAGGCUUUCCCUAGUUCCUUGCCUCAGGGACGUGUAAGCACUUGAACAGUACAAUUUACUCUGUUCUCAUGACAUUUCCAGGAGACAAAAACCAUCAGCCCCAUUUUAUAACUUGUGACCUUGAAUUAGAGAGAGGGCAAGCAACACGGACGCAGUCGAACAGCGAGCCAGAGUGGUUUGCCCAAACCGGAACACAGCUCCCCCACUCCCACACUGGCUGCUGCUAAGACCGAACAGGGGAGGAGUGUUAUUUGUGAACAGGAGUACACCUCACUGGGUCUCAAGAAGUUAGAAAGAUGGCCUGCAGGCUUCAAGGGAAAAAAAAAAAACCGCCAGCAGCAGAGAUAGAUUAGAAGGUACUUCAAACAAAGUUGUUGUAAUGGGUCAAAUACAUUUCUAGACAAACAAGACGACUCAAAACCUUCAAUACAGCAGUUUGCAAAAGGUCUUUUCAGGCCUGACUGCUAACUUAGCAUCAAAUAGUUUUUCUCACACUGUGGAAGUCCUACAUGUUGAAUUACUUUAUAACCUCUUUCAACUUCCUGAAAAAAGACUUUGGAAGGUCAAACAUGCAUUUCACCUUGCUACUCAUCAUUCUGCAUUUAAAUGUGCUCCUGGGACAUUAAAACAGACAACACCAGUAAAGAUGCUCAAGAUUAAAAUAGACUGUAUUAUAAAAAUGGUAUUAAACAGGAUCGUUCAGCCUUAAAAAGGAAGGAAAUACUGCCAUGUUAUAGUGAAGAUGAAACUUGAGGACAUUAUGCUAGGUGAAAUAAACCAAUCAUAAAAAAAUAAAUAUUGUAUGAUUUCACUUAGAGGAGGGACCUACAGUAGUCAAAUGCACAGAGAUGGAAAGCAGAAUGGUGGUUGCCAGGGGCUGGGGGAGGGGGAACGGAAAGUUGUUUAAUGGGUAGGGAGUUUCAGUUUUGCAAGAUGCAAACGUUCUGGAGAUGGAUUGCACAAUACUGUGAAUAUAUUAACACUGCUGAACUGUACACUUAAAGGUGAUUGAGAUAGUAAAUUUUAGACUAUGUGUUUUCCACCGCAAUUAAAAAAAUUUAAAGGGCAGUGCUGAAUU